rnacentral:rRNA from 1 species
UGGGGAAUAUUGCACAAUGGGCGCAAGCCUGAUGCAGGGACGCCGCNUGAGGGAUGACGGCCUUCGGGUUGUAAACCUCUUUCAGUAGGGAAGAAGCGAAAGUGACGGUACCUGCAGAAGAAGCGCCGGCUAACUACGUG